rnacentral:misc_RNA from 1 species
GAUGAAGAACGUAGCGAAAUGCGAUAAGUAAUGUGAAUUGCAGAAUUCAGUGAAUCAUCGAAUCUUUGAACGCACCUUGCACCCUUUGGCAUUCCGAAGGGUAUGCUCGUUUGAGUGUCAUUGUACUCUCACACUCUCCGAUCCUAUGGAUUCGGGGAGCGGUGGACUUGGGUGUUGCUGCCUUUCCUUGUGGCUCACCUCAAAUGUGUCAGCGCACCUCUUGGUUGGACAUAGUACGGCGUGAUAAGUGUCUUCGCCGGCACCUCGCAAGAGGGUGGCCGAUCGGGAGCUCUGUGCUUUCAAACCGUCUUCGGACAAUUUCUGACAACUUGACCUCAAAUCGAGUAGGACUACCCGCUGAACUUAAGCAUAUCAAUAAGCGGAGGA